CUAAAAUAACCCUUGUGAAAGUAUCCGAAACUAUCCGAAAUAUGGCAGCAAAGGGUAAUACUCUCAUACAAAUUCUGAUUGUUUAUAUUUUUUUCAUUAUUUUCUAGGAUCCUCAAAACAAUCGGAUUUUUCAAUGGCAAAAUGUGACUUCUUUCCGAAAUAUUACCCAACUCUCGUUCCAACUGAUUUCAGAACCAAUGUUUGGAGAUUACUGGAUUGUUGUGAAAAGAAACUCAAGGAAGACAGUGACACACCAAUUUGCUGUUAAAAGAUAUGUGCUGCCCAAGUUUGAAGUUACGGUCAAUGCACCACAAACAGUAACUAUUUCAGAUGAUGAAUUCCAAGUGGAUGUAUGUGCUAAGUACACCUUUGGCCAACCUGUGCAAGGGAAAACCCAAAUCCGGGUGUGCAGAGAGUAUUUUUCUUCAAGCAAUUGUGAGAAAAAUGACAAUGAAAUAUGUGAGCAAUUUAUUGCACAGUGCCUUUCUAGAUGAUUAGAAUUUCUUCCUCUGAAAACACUGUGAACCAAAAGUAUCUGAGACAGAUGUCAAUCAAUUUGCAAAGCUUAUGUUGCCAAGGUGAAGGAUGUACCUAUGACAGCCUCCAGAGGUCCUACCAACAUGUGCCCAAGGUGGUUGGGGUACAGCUUGCUUUUACACAUUUCAGGGAGAUGUGAGACAUCAACAAAUAUGUGUAAGAUGUACAUUGGUUCAGUCCAGAAAGGCAGGACAAUCCAAACUAAGGGGGUUUCCAGGUCAUAGGUAGAUAAGAGACAAACAGUUGCAUAAAGAAGAAGUCUUUGAGGCCAGGUGCAGUGAUUCACAGCUGUAAUCCCAGCACUUUGGGAGGCCGAGGCGGGCAGAUCACGUGAGGUCAGGAGAUCGAGACCAGCCUGACCAACAUGGAGAAACCCCAUCUCUACUAAAAAUACAAAAAUUAGCCGGGCGUGGUGGCAGGUGUCUGUAAUCCCAGCUACUCGAGAGACUGAUGCAGGAGAAUCGCUUGAACCUGGGAGGCGGAGGUUGCAGUGAGUCAAGAUUGGGCUAUUUCACCCCAGCCCUAGUGACAGAGCAAGACUCUAUCUCAAAAAAAAAAAAAAAAAGAAUAAGUCUUUGUCUUUGAUCAGCCUUUCACUGAAUACACAAAUUACAUGUGAGAGGAGGAUAGAGGAAUAGUCACUUAUGCCUUAGUGUGGCUCAGUAAAUCUGCAUUUUUACAUAAACUAUUAGGCAGAGGAAGCAAUCAGAGAAAUCAGAUACGUAUUUGUCUCAGGUAAGCAGAGGGAUGACUGAAUCUGUC
rnacentral:lncRNA from 1 species